rnacentral:tRNA from 1 species
GCUUUUAAAGGAUAACAGCGUAUCCAUUGGUCUUAGGAGCCAAAAACUCUUGGUGCAAGUCCAAGUAAAAACA